UCCGGUUUGUCACCGGCAGUCCCAUUAGAGUGCUCAACUGAAUGUAGCAACUAAUGGCAAGGGUUGCGCUCGUUGCGGGACUUAACCCAACAUCUCACGACACGAGCUGACGACAGCCACGCACCACCUGUGCACUGGCCCCGAAGGGCUGCCGUGUUUCCACGACAUUCCAGUGCAUGUUAAGCCCAGGUAAGGUUCUUCGCGUUGCGUCGAAUUAAACCACAUGCUCCACCGCUUGUGCGGGCCCCCGUCAAUUCCUUUGAGUUUUAGCCUUGCGGCCGUACUCCCCAGGCGGGGCGCUUAAUGCGUUAGCUACGGCGCAGGAAACCGGAGAGGCCCCCCACACCUAGCGCCCAACGUUUACAGCGUGGACUAC
rnacentral:misc_RNA from 1 species